GAAUAGCUCCCCUCUGCAUCAAAAAGAUGGGGGGGCGCAGGUCUUAGAAGAGAUGGGCCUGCUCAAGCCACAGAAUUCGGAUCUUGAUCCAGAGGUUCCACAAUCCAGAGGAGAAGGUGAUGCCUACUGAAAUAAUAGCCAUGUGAGCUGUUGUGAAGUCUGACCGAAUAUUAACGUCCUUGCAAAGACUGAGUUUCUUCUGCCUGCUGAAGCAGAAAAAUAUUCUGAAGAAACACACACCAUAACCUUAAUAUGAAAGAUAAAAUUAGCAAUUCAAAUGGAACAUUAGAAGGAAGCUGCUGCCAUUGUUGCCUUGAGGCAUUCCCCCUCCACACCUUUGGAAUAUAUGAACCAGAUUAGGAGGAGAAAGAUGACGACUCAGGAAGACACAGUCUGUGAAAUUUUGCCAGUGCUGCAUCAGACUGUGAGCAAAGGGUGUGGAGGGUGAACAUUGUAGACUGCCUGUCGAAGGAAAGAGCUUUCAGGAGAAAGGCCCAGGAGCCCUACCAGGAAAAGGAGAGUGAAAUGCACCAGGACGUAAUGGGACUUCUCUGUCAGCAAACACAGAUACUACAGAUUCUUGUGGACCAACAGUUGAGCAAUCACAGGCUCGCCUCCCUUGGCAGUCCAUGGAGAACUCCAUUGCAGCACCUCCUUCCCCCACACCCCAACGUUCCACAAGGUAUCAGGGGCGCAUCCCUUCCCCUAUCACUCCACCCUGGCGGACAUUAAGGAUAGCCACAGCUUCACAUACACUGACCUGUGAAAGCCACAGUUGCUGUAUGUGUAGGCAAAAUGGACAUGAAUGUUCUUUCCCUUUAGUAAGUUCUUUUCCAUUAACUUAUUAAGUUCUUAAUGUAUUUGAUUUUCAGUUG